UUUUUGUUUUCAAAAGGAGAAGCAGGGCGAAAUUCCCUCACAGUCACGCUACCGUACAGUCGGAUCGCCUGCCGAAAAUCGAGCGCAUUUGUGCCUACGAACGAUGGGUCAAUGGCGGAAUCAUUCAGAUUUUAAG
rnacentral:ncRNA from 18 species